UACGUAGGUGGCAAGCGUUGUCCGGAUUUACUGGGCGUAAAGAGCGCGCAGGCGGCUGGUCAAGUCCGAUGUGAAAUCUCCCGGCUCAACUGGGAAACUGCAUCGGAAACUGAUCGGCUUGAAGGUGGGAGAGGGUAGUGGAAUUCCCGGUGUAGUGGUGAAAUGCGUAGAUAUCGGGAGGAACACCAGUGGCGAAGGCGGCUUCCUGGACCUGUUCUGACACUGAGGAGCGAAAGCGUGGGGAGCGAUCCGG
rnacentral:rRNA from 1 species